ensembl:lncRNA
UUUUGCAGACAGUUAUGUUUAAUGGGGUGUAUCUAUGUGUAAAAAAUAGCAAAUGGCAAUCUUCUGAAGAUAGAAAGUACGUCUGUGAUUUUAAUACUCAUGAACUGGUGGAUCUUGCUCAUCCACAUUCUUUAAAUUUACCCAGAUGUACAGCAUCUACUUGCAUGUCCCAGUGCACAUAAAAGGUGUUGCACAAAGCAAUUACGUCAUGUCAUAUUAUGUAUUUGAUAAAUAAUGUCACUUAGAGGUGAAAACGCCGAACACAUUAUUGUAGCAAAAUAAAUCCCUUCAGAAACAUAACUAUUAAGGAUGUUAAAAGAAGACACUGUUUAUUAAACCCUUAAACCCUGAAAGCUAUUGCAACAUAAGGCCUACCGUUGCAUAAGCCUUGACUAUACAAGGAAAGUUAAGGACUGAAUUUAUAUCAGACAAUGACAACCAUGAUAUGUCAAUGUCAGAAAGUCUUCUUGAGGAGACUUACAGAGUAAAAUUUUAAUUAAAUGAGCAGAAAAAAAUAUUGUUUUCAAUCCUAGUCUUGUAACUCAGUAGCUAAAACUUUAGACAAGACAUUUUACGUUUUUACAUCCCACUUAAAAAUGCUGCCAACUAGAACAGAUUUCAAAUGUAAACAGACCACAUGUAUCCACUGAUGUUUCAUGCUCUUCGUCCCCCUGAAGGAGGCAUGCUUGAUGGCUUGUGGUAGCAUUCUGAAGGGGUUGCAUUUGGGCUUGCAUUCAUCCCAGUGGGGAUGUAAUACAUGCUCUCUAGAUAGCUUUGAUCCAGUGAUGAAUGGCCUUUUGGUUCAUUUUUUGGCAUCUGGCUUGCAGGGCUUCCAUACCUUAAGGAAGUCUGGUGAAGUGUGGUGGGCACAGGAGGUGGCUCUGGAUGGCGAAUUUGCGGGGCAGUACCUGAGAUUGCUGGGUAAGAUGGCACUGCGUAAGGCAGGUACUGUGGUGCAUACAACCCAGGACUGUGCAAAGAGGAGUAGGGUGGUGCAGCUGGUGGAUAUAGCCCUGAAUGGGACAUUGCCUGAUGUGGUAUGAGAACUUCUACAUACUGGCCCAAUUCAGGAUCAAACAGCAUUUUUCUGAGUGGUUGCAUUGGUACCUCAAUGUAGAAGUAUUUACCAGUCUCAGGAUCAAGAAGAACACGACGGGCACCUUGGCCACAGCUGAGCCCACUUGCAUUCUCUGGAUACAAUACACCAGCUCCACCUGGACCUUCAUUUGUGUAAUCGUGGCCAAAAGAUGGAGUCAAAUCUUGAGGAUUAAACAACUGAGGCCGGGGAUCCAGAGUAGACAUGUUAGCUGAAUGAGAAUACUCAUGAUAGGGAGCAGGAGCUGCUGCCUGAGGUGAAGGGUGAUUGGCUGGCCGUCUAUCUGCAUGCAGCCCAGAAGCUGGAGGAUGGUCAUCACCAUAGGAUUGUGAGUUUGAAACUGGACAAGCUCGUGGAUUGUGUAGAGGCUGAAUCAAAGCUGAGGCAUGAGGUAUUGUGAUAUUGGAGACUGGUAGACCAUCUGGUCUGCACUGAUGAGGACGAACUUGAGCUUGCGGAGGAGCACCAGGACAGGUAAGGACUUGGCCUGGAGACCGAGAGGCUGCUGGUACCCGUUCCUGUGGACUGUUGUUGGGAUGUCCUUGAUGCGAAUGAGAACUUGGCAUGCAGGAGCAAGAAGACCUACGUGACCUAUGUGGGGGUAAGUCUGAGAGCCGUAGCGGGCUGAAACUCUCCCGCUCAUCAUAGCUGGGAGGAUCAUCUGAAGCGUAGAAAAGAUAGUCAUCUGUGUGAAAACGAUUAUUAGAUGAUGCUCUUGUCACAGAUGGUGUGUGGUUAAGGGCUUGUGGUCCUGAUGAGUUAAAAGCAAUGGAACCAUCUAGAAUUGACUGGUCUUGACUGAAUGAUGGGGUUUGCUGCUGGUAAGUGCUGGUUGCUGGUUGCAAGAAAGCAGUAGAUUGCUGUUGAUCCAGACUGGACAGUGUCUUUGUGGUGGAUUUUUGCACAACACUUGGAGUUGCUGUGACUGGGAUGGAUGGUGGUUUGCAGCUUGAUACAGCUGAUACAGCCAGUCUUUUUGUAUCUGUUGAUGAAGUCUCGUUUGGUUGAUCCUUGUGUGUCACUGUUGAUGGGGUUUCAUUUUUCUUUGAUUCACUACUUAAUAUUGUUUGCUGUUUAAUAACAGACAAUGCUUGAGUAUCUGCUUUUGAUGGGUCACUUGACACUGACUUAACUUCUGCAAAUGACUGUUUAUAGCUGGGUUUUGGUGUUACAAAUGGCUUUAGUCUAUCAGUGGAUAUUGAUCUCACUUGUAUGGGUAACUCAAUCUCUUUUGAUGCAUUCACUGGUGUGGCAUUAUUUUUUGUACUGCUUGAAAAAGACCUCACCUCUGGCUUGCCAGAUGUUGCUAAAUAGGUUGGAAUUUGUGUUGUAGUGGUAGUUUUCUUUUUUUCUUGUUCCUUUGUUAAAGAUUCUUCUGUCAGUAUUCCCUUGGGACUCUCACUUGGUUGAGAUAUUCUUGAUGAAUCAUUGACAAAUGCUGUUGGAUUGCAAGGCAAUGAUGUAUUUUCUGCCUUUACUUGUACUUCACUUGAAAUGCUUUCUGAUGAACAUGCCUGUACAGGUACCUCAAGCCUGUUGACAUGUUUAGCUGUAGCACUUGCACCUUCAGUGAGAACAUCACACACUCCAAUGUCAGCUUGCAUCCCUUUUUCUUUCAGUAGCAUGGAUACAGAGUGGCUGCUGGUUGCAGCUUUCAUUUGAGUAGAGUCAAGGAUUGUAGGGGAAACAGACUUUGUCUUGGAUGUGCAAUCUGGUAGAACCACCAAUGCAGAAACUUCUCGGUCCUUACUUGGGGGUCUAGGGGGCAUCUUAGAACUCUGGUCACAGUGAAUGGAAGAUCUUUUAUUGAUACCUUCUGAUUUAGGUAAUCCAUCUGUGGUCGUAGAGUGAGAAUAUGGUGCUUUUUGUUUUGACUCUUUGUUUUGUUUUGAGCCUUUGGAUGUUAUUUCAGUGAUGUCAGCAUCUCUUUUUGUCUCUGCGCUCACCCAUGGUUGUGAUAUUUUUGAUAUGUCAACAGGCAGUUUUUCAUCAUGACAGUGGAUUGCUUUGCUGCCUGAUGUUUGUUUGUCCUUCCAACUGAUAGCUUUACAUUCAAUGUGUAAGGCUGGAGGAGUUUGCGGCGGCUUCUCUCUUUCCCCUUGAAUAACUGUCUCUUCUGCAGUAGAGGUUGAAUUUGAUGCUUUGAAAGACAGGUUGUAUGUGUUUUUCACUAACUUCCUCACAUCCCUAACUCUAUGUAUAACAGAUUUUUUGUUGCUGUCAUCGUCAUCUUCUGUCUCUAUGACUUUAGUAGAUUUGGUGCUUAUAUCUUCUGCAGCUUUCUCUAUUGCCUGAGAUUUAGAUAUUUCUCUGGACUGUUCCAAGUCAGGGGACAAAGACACUUUCAGAGAUGAUGUCUUUUUUCCUUUGAUAGAAGAAGGUUUCAAAGUUAUCUCUGGGGUUUUCGACAUAAAUACACUCUUUCCAGCCAGUUGUUCCUGGUUUUCCGGUGUCAUCUGGCGCUUUUUUAUGUCUCUGGUUGUCAUUCUGUUCUGCAUGCUUAUUGCUGGUGUAGCAACAACAGGACUUGUGUUACUGAUACUGGCAUUUGCUGAGUCACAAUUGUACUUCUCUUCAAGGUUGCUACCUCCUCCCUCUUUCCUAUCACUCUUGCUGUUUUGUAUUUUGUCAUCAACUUGUGGAGGAGCCACUAUAGGCUUGGUUUCUUCCCUUGCAAUGUUGCCAGCUACCUGAGCUUCCCCAUUGUUAAAGAAUGCAGGUCUUAAGAAUGGCUUUGGUGGAACCUUUGGAGCACACUUCUUCGGCUGACGAUGUGAAAUUCUCUCCUCUCCCGCAGCAAAAUCUUCAGAUGAAAGAGUACAUUCAGAAUGCUGGCUAGAGCUUAAACUAUGUUUCUCCAUGGUACUUGGUACACCAUCAAAAGAGCUGGGGCUGACAUCAAGAUGUUUAUUUUUAUCUCCAGAAGGACUUGGGUCUGUACUUUUUGGUGUCUCUUUCUGCACAUCAUGCAUUUUCUUUGACAAUACACUCUUGAUAAUGCAAGAUGCCAUUUGUGUCUUAGGGGAGCCAUCAUCUAAAGACACAGACUUCUGCAAGGUCUUUUUCCUGUCAUUUUGUGGUGAAUUUGGCACCUCCUUGGAAACUUCCUCUUGCACAAUAGCUGGGGUGCUAUGUUGACGAACAAGUGCGUCUUUUGAGUGUCUAUAUGUGGAGGGUGAAUUCAAAAUAUUUUCAUUGUUUCCUUUAUGCUUUGAUUCAUCUGUGUUCCGCCUUAACAGCUGGAUCUGCCUUUUAGGUACUGUCCUCUUUCCUCUACUGGAUUCUUCCUUGCUCUCUAAUGCAACAUCCACACACUCAAAACUCCCCAUUUCAAAGCGUUUGUUUGGGUCCAGGACAUCACGGGAUAAAAAAGACGAACCAUCAUGUUCAUGUAAAGCUGAGCCACGUAAAUCUGCGUAGGUCAUCCAUGCAACAGCUCCAGGGCUGUCUACAGUCGAUGGCUGUGAAACAUUUGUAGAGGACCUGUGGCUUGAAUUGUACACAUCCAAAUAAUCCACCUGAGGACUAGAUAGGCUUCUGAAGGCCAGAUCUGUAAACCACUUUACUUCAUUGUCUGCUUCAUCAAAUUCACUUCCCAUGUUGGAGGUCUCACCAGUACAUUCAGGAGGAAGAAAGCCUGCACUGCUGUAUUUACCCUGGGCAGCUGACUGGAGCCUCCUGGCGCCACCCUUGUUCUCUUGUUGUGAGCCCUGAGCUCUGAGCUGACUCUGUUGCUGCAAAGUUGUUGGGUGCGACUCAAAAUAACAGCGAGCUGGAAUUCCCGACUUUGGGUCUCGACUUGAGAGAGCUGGGCUGUGGCCUGCAGGCCCUUUUCUAUUCCUGGCACUGAAUGACAGCUCAACCUGUUCCCCUCUGUAACUACUCUCUCCAAUAGUCUCCUCCCCCUCUCCCUCCUUCUUUCCACUCUCCUCUUUUUCCCUGCAUGGUUGCCUGUCAAAUUCACCACCAUUGUCCCUACUGAUAACCUCUGGGCUUUCUCUUAAUGCUACAGGCACUUGACUAAGCCUCUUGUCACUGCUUGGGGAAUCAUUUUUUAACAUUUCUGUUCCCUUGUUCCUAUCAAAAACCUCAACAUGGCAUUGUUUCUUCUCUACAGAUGGCACUGGCUUCGGCAGAGAUGCAUCCCAUGCACACGGGGAGGUUAAAUCAGUUGUGUUGUCAGUGACAUCUUGUUGACUUUUCGCAAUUUUUAUUGUUGACGAUCCAGAAUCUGAGGUUUUAGAGGUUGAAUCUUGCAGUAUCUGAACUGGUGGUCCACUGCCUUUACAUUCAUCUGGGACAAAUGCAAGGCUUUUCAAGGUUGUUGGGUCAGCAUGGUCAUCAAAACAAUCAAAACAGUCUAUUGGGUUAGAGAAAGGAUGACUAACUCCAUCACAGAUUAUGGAUAAACUCUGAUUUUCUGCCUUUCCAAGAGUAAUGGAAGGCUCAGGUUGGAGAUAAGAGGAUAGUGUUGUGUGUUUGGUAUGGUCUGAUGUAGCUGAUGGGGGCCUUGAUCUACUCUCUGGUGUUGGCAAAAAGUUCCUUGAGCUAGGUAAGACAGAGGUGUCAUUUCCAAAAAGAUAGCUGGAAGAUUCAGAAGAGUUGUCACAGACAUUUGUUGAUUGGGCUAAAUCUUUGGUUGGUGUAACGUUAUAUGUGAUGCCUGGGGAUUUUGUAUUUUGUGGCAGAACACUAUAUGAUAUUGUUUUGAUUUCAGGUGAGCAGGUAACUGAUCUCAAUUCCAGUGAAGGGGCUGGGGAAUUGGGCUCUGGUGUAAGGUAAUUUUCUCUGCUGUUUGGAGUAGAGGUAAUGCUCCUUAACGCAGGUGUGGAAUCUCUACUGUAUGUAGGUGUUGCUGUGUAAUCAGUUCCUGUGAUGGCAGGAGAGGAUGGUAGAUCAUUAGGUUCCACUGAAAAAAACAUUCUCUUAUUUGUAGGUGAUGGGGUGAUAGUAUAACCCUUUGGUGAGUGAAUAAUUUCAGGUUCUUGUGAGUGAGCUGGAAUGGAGUGAUCAGUAGAGGAGUGCAUAUCACUGCGACCGCAGGGGGAAGAUGUUGAGGCAUCAGGUUCAGUUGAAUAAACCCGUCUCUCAUUUGUAGGUGAUGGACUGAUGUUGUAACACGGAGACGAGUGAAUGAUUACUGGUUCUGAGUGAUCAGGAGAAGAGCAAAUAUCCCUGUAUUCAAUCCUUGUGACUACAGGGAAGGAUGGUGAGUCUUCAGGUGAUACAGGGGAGGAUGGUGAGUCUUCAGGUUGGACUGAAGAAGAUAUUUUCUCAUAUGUAGGUGAUGGACUGAUGGUGUAACCUACAGGGGAGUGAAUCAGUACUGGUUCUUGUGAGUGACCAGGUGCUGAGUGAUCAGGAGAAGAGCAGGUUUCAUUGAUCUCAGGUGAUUCCAGUCUUUCUCUUCUAUCUUUGGAUGAGUAUACCAGUCCUCUUGUUUCAGUAGAAAUGUCAGACACAGAUAGGGAAUCUAUUUUCCCAUUAUCACUGGUAGGCAGUGUAGAUACAGAUAAAGUAGCACCAUAAUUGUCCUCCAAGCCUGGAGUCUCUGAUGUGUUCCUAACUUGAGUUGGACACAAAUUCAGCAGCUCAGGUGAAGAUCUACCGGUGGAUGCAGGUGUGGAGGUAGUUUCCUUGCUUACAGGCGAGGUGGAGGUUAAUCUGGGUUCUGGCAUGACACUGGUUAUGGAUGAAGAUGAAGUAAACAUUUCAUGCAUAAGGCUGCAAUCUGUUGGAGAAGGGUUUGACAGUUCUGAUGCAGAGCCACUGUUCAUCGUCCCUUGCACAAAGAGAAUGUUUUGCUCUCGUGGACUACAAUAGAUCAUACUCACUUUGUCCUCAGAAGACAUCACAACAUUUUGUUUAAGUGGAGAUACUGCCAAAGAUUCACAGUCUGACUCAAAUAUUUGUUUAUCUAAAAAUGGGCUUGUGCUUGUAUGUUGAGGUGUUUUAAUAAUUCCUUCUUGCUCAAAAACAGCAGGUUCUUUCUCUUCUGAAGAGCAGGAUGUAGGAUUAGAAGGUUUCUUUGCCGGAUUAAUCAGGGUGGUAGCUGGUGUUGAAUUCACAUACUGUGGUUCAGAUGCAUUUGUGAUUGCCGUUUCAUUCACUGGGGCAGUGAUUACUGACACUUGGGAUUCUUCCCAGUUAUCUGUAUGUGAAAGGUCACUACUAUUGACUUUGGAUGCAGGUGGUGUGCACUCUAAUUGGUUAAGUCUAUUUUUGGUAUCAGACAAGAUGGGUGAUUUAGUUGGUGGUGAACGUGAUUCCCUGGUCUCAGAUGUGGAAAAAUCUGGUGUAUUUUCUGGAGAAGGUGUGUUGUAAGUGACUUCAGCAUUGUCGCUUAAGUCGGAUCCAUUGGCAGUGUGGUAAGAUCCUAAAGAGUCAUUGGUAUCAUCUACUGGAAAAGACUGAUCCACUUCCCUCCUGAUAAAUGCGGCAGAGGCUGGGCUACUGGAAAGUGACGGAGACUCGCCGUCAUCCCCAAAAAUGUCACACAGGCAGGUUGUUUCAGAUAUGGCAUUAUGAUGGCUGGGGAUGGAAGUGAUAUCAAAGAUCUCCACACGGUUUGGCCCUUCAUGACUCUGCAGGUUGAACGUGUGUGGAGCACUGCGAAGAAAAGAGUAGCUAUCACCUUCUAGAACCCAGCGUUCCAUUUCUUCACUUCAGAUACCACAGACAUUGGGUUGUCUCACUUGAGCCUUUUAUAAAUGCAUGAACAGGUCACUCAUCAACUGUUGAAUGCUUUCAGACCUGAAACAUCAAAAGAAACAAUAAUGAAAACCUUUUACUAAAAGAAUUAAAUAAUUC